rnacentral:rRNA from 1 species
UACGUAGGGACCAAGCGUUGUCCGGAAUCAUUGGGCGUAAAGCGCGCGUAGGUGGCCAUUUAAGUCCGCUGUGAAAGUCAGAGGCUCAACCUUUGAAAGCCGGUGGAUACUGGAUGGCUAGAGUACGGAAGAGGCGAGUGGAAUUCCUGGUGUAGCGGUGAAAUGCGCAGAUAUCGGGAGGAACACCAAUUGCGAAGGCAGCUCGCUGGGACGGUACUGACGCUGAGACGCGAAAGCGUGGGGAGCGAACAGG